CUUCCGUCUCAAGCCUAGAUCUCAGAGCUUCGUAGUGUCGCCAGCGACAGUUCUCCAGCCAAUCAGAGCAUGUAAACAAAACUUCCCCUGACCCCUUCCUUUUCAUUUCUGGUUGUCGAGAAGUGUCGCGACACGCCCCUUUUGUAGUUGAAAUAUUCCAACUACACCUGGAAUUUCUGCGACAAUCACAAUAAAUAUAACCUAUCUGUCAGCCGCAAAAACAGUUGUUUUUGAUUUUAGCUAUUCUUUUCAGUAUUUUUUAAUCAUGGUAUAUUUUCCAUCUAAAUUCAGAAUGGAGCUUUUCUACAAGUAUAUUCGUGGCGAAAGGCGAAAUAAAAUAAGGAGAAGAAGGUGGAUUCACUAGGCCACUGCGGGAGAUAGGUAUUUAACUUCCUAAUGAACCAUGAAAAUGAAUACAAAAAGUGCCCAUUUCAUUGAAAUUCCCAAAACAAAUCAAAAACUAGCUGAACGUUACUCCCACAAAAUAAACAAGAUUGGAGGUUUUGAUCCAUUUGCCAUUUAAGAAAGAGAUAUACGAGGUUACAGUCCUGAUGGAAUAUUAUGAUAUUGUGGUUUUUCUAGUUUUCACGACCAGUUUUUAAACAAAUCAGCAAAUGAAAGCCUACAAAUGCUCGCAUUAUAUCUGGGUUUUGCUGUUUGAAACAAAAUAUUCUGUGAGAAGUUUUUCACAAAAGGGUCAGUACAGAUGAAUAGGUGUACAUGUAGAGAAGGGAAAAAUGACCAUUUUUAUGAUAAAAUGCUGCUAUGAGGAUUGUGAAAUAUAUUGGAUCCGAUCCAUGCGGAAAGUGUUGGGCUGACCAUUGUUCCUGACCAUUCGUUCAGCGUUUGUACAAGCAAUUUACACAUGGAUCGAAUAGUUUUUUAAAAUGUAUAUACAUAAUAUGAUGUAAUGUGGUUGUAUUAAAUAAUCUC